UACGGGGGGGCAAGCGUUGUUCGGAAUUACUGGGCGUAAAGGGCUCGUAGGCGGCCAACUAAGUCAGACGUGAAAUCCCUCGGCUUAACCGGGGAACUGCGUCUGAUACUGGAUGGCUUGAGGUUGGGAGAGGGAUGCGGAAUUCCAGGUGUAGCGGUGAAAUGCGUAGAUAUCUGGAGGAACACCGGUGGCGAAGGCGGCAUCCUGGACCAAUUCUGACGCUGGGUGAGCGAAAGCCAGGGGAGCAAACAGG
rnacentral:rRNA from 1 species